rnacentral:rRNA from 1 species
AUUGAACGCUGGCGGCAGGCCUAACACAUGCAAGUCGAACGAGUGGCGGACGGGUGAGUAAUGUCUGGGAAACUGCCUGAUGGAGGGGGAUAACUACUGGAAACGGUAGCUAAUACCGCAUACCAUCGGAUGUGCCCAGAUGGGAUUAGCUAGUAGGUGGGGUAAAGGCUCACCUAGGCGAAGAUCCCUAGCUGGUCUGUGAGGAUGACCAGCCACAGUGGAACUUAGACUCGGUCCAGAAUCCUACGGGAGGCAGCAGGUGGGAAUAUUGCACAAUGGGCGCAAGCCUGAUGCAGCCAUGCCGCUGUUAUGAAGAAGGCCUUCGGGUUUUAAAGUACUUUCAGCGGGGAGGCGUUACCCGCAGAAGAAGCACCGGCUAACUCCGUGCCAGCCGCCGCGGUAAUAC